UUUACCUACGGGGGGCAGCAGUAGGGAAUUUUCGGCAAUGGGCGAAAGCCUGACCGAGCAACGCCGCGUGAACGAAGAAGGUCUUCGGAUUGUAAACUGUUGUCGCAGGGGAAGAAGACAGUGACGGUACCCUGUGAGAAAGUCACGGCUAACUACGUGCCAGCAGCCGCGGUAAUACGUAGGUGACAAGCGUUGUCCGGAUUUACUGGGUGUAAAGGGCGCGUAGGCGGGAUAGCAAGUCAGUCGUGAAAUGCCGAGGCUUAACCUCGGAGCUGCGAUUGAAACUGUUAUUCUUGAGUAUCGGG
rnacentral:rRNA from 1 species